UUCUUUUCUUUUCUUUCUUCUUUCUUUCUCUCUUUCAUUUUUUCUUUCUUUGCGCUCUUAGCAGCGGAAAAAGGAGGGAGGAGAGUG
rnacentral:ribozyme from 14 species